rnacentral:misc_RNA from 1 species
GCAAAAGGUAUGUGUUUGCUUUUGGAUGAGUGCCAUCAAGAAUUUCCUUGCAUUAAACCAUUUUUAUGCAUUGGGAAUAUAAGGGAAGGGAAAUAGGUAUGUUCUCUGAUUCCCUUUCCUCAUUUUUCAAUUCCUAGUCUCUGCCUUAUGAGAAUUAGGCAAUCAGUACCUUUUCAUUUUCUUCAGUCUUGAGGCACUUGAAAUUCAAUGAUUGAGUUCAG